AACAAAUCGGUUGGUAUGCGGCCUUGGUGCUUGGGGCGUAUAGCGUACUAAUGUUUACAUCGAAUUGUUGUCACUCGUAGGUAUUUGGCCUUCCCUGCGUACAAUACAAUGUUGAUAUUUGCGUUCAACCUGCCUUCAGUCGUACGGCGAAACUCGAAUGGGAAAGUUGAAGCUCCGUAUAUCAUCGGAUUAUACCUUGAGAAAUUCUUUAUUAUAAUUAGCUAUUAAUUCAUAAGUGUGUCGAAACGAUCGAUAUUAAUUACGCGAGUGAUGAGUGUCAUUAUUAUGUGCAAAGACGAAGCAGUAAAGGAUAAAACAUAAAGUGGAAAAGAAGCCCCAGAGAGACAUCGAGCGACUGCGGAGCAAUUUUCAGACGAAUACCACAAGUAUUCCGCAAAAGCGUCACGUGGCGCGAAGUGCACCGCGAAGUGUGACAAUUUCGAUAAAUCGUCUUGAGAACGGCGAGUCAACGGGCGAGCUCAGGCCCGGUUAAAAGCACGACGGAGAGGGUGGAAAAAGGUCGUUGCGUGAUUCAAGGAGCGCCGGGACAGCGAUGGAAACGGAAAAAGGGAGAAGGGGGGCAGACGAUAGAAACGGCAGAGGGGAUGACUUUUGAAGGAAGGAGGGAGACGAAGGGCCUCGUGCGUUUUCGAUGUACAAAAAGUAAUUACGGGAUGGUUUCCGGUAAUCAUAUCUAGAGCGCAUUGAAUGAGCGCAUUGUUCGGGCACCCCUUCAGCGAUAUGCACUUGUACGCGGCGCCCCUGCCUCUCCUCUUCGCCCUCGACUCAUCAUCAGGACUUCCACCCUAUCGACGUAUACUCACGACGACCACACCGCAUUUGAACGUGGAGGAUAUCGGACCCGGGCGGCUCGGAGAAACUAUGUACAGACGACGCAUUGCAGGAGGAAGACGAUGGAACGGAAGGAAGCGAGAUAGAGCGUGGAAGUGCGAGCGAGAUCCGAGAAGAGAGCAAAGAGCAUGACAAGAGCGAGGCUGUAGGGGCGCAGGGCUGCGACCCGACUGACCCUACCUCGAUGCCCCGGCUGCCUUCGGAGCCCUCUCUAGCCCUACUCCGCGCACCCUUACCCUCACCCUUAGCCUCCGGGGGUGGAUGGAAGGCGGGCCGGCCCAUUUUUCGCGCCCCACUUGACUCCACGUCCUCAUUGGCUGCCGCCCUCUCGCUCUGACCUCUCUUCCCUUGGCUGCUUCUGACACCGACAGGGUGGACGGCCGCGUUCCUUCCACCUGGCUCCUUUUUUCAGAGAAGAAAAGCAGAAGAGACGCCCGAAGAUUCGGAUGAAAUGUUAAUCGCUUGUCUAUAGAUCGUCGCUCGUCGUCUACCAGCCAGCUAAUAACGGAUUUUCACAAAGCAAUUUUAUGAUGGUGUGGAAAAAAUACCCUUUUUUGUGAAAAAAAUGAAGAAAAAUGUAUAUCAAAAAAUGGAAAAGCUGCUAGUAGUUACAUUAAACUUGUCAUUUGCACUGCAGCGAUAUUUAUGUGAACAACGAUUGGAGCAACGAUAAACGGAAAUAAGACGCAGAUGAAUUAAGUUGAAACAAAAAGUGAUAGAAAUCGCGAGAUCAAAACGAGUUCAAGGUUGAGUCUAGUGAAUCGAAUACGCCCCUUCCCGAGAAGACGAAGUUGCUCGACAGGCGCUUAGAGACGGCGAUGACGAUUCGUGGUAGCGCUCGCGGUCGGUUUGAUAAAAAGCGUAGUAAUAUGAUCAGCAGGUUGAAGAAUCUGGAGAGCUCGGUCCACGAGAGAAGAGAUCACGAGGAGAGUGGUGGUGGGAUACGAGGGAGAAGGAGGGGACGAGAGAACGCGAUAAGGAGAACUGCGGACCGCUUGUUCGUCGAGUUCGCGUACAGGAAGAAAAAGAGAGACGGUGAAAGGGGUGAGGAAGGAAGGGCGAAAGAGAAGGAGAGUAGAGGACGAAUAGACUGACGGCAGACGGAUAGAUAGAUGGAGAGCGAUGCGAGGCGUCGGUGCGGUGAGCGAGACGACCUCAAGCGAAGGAGGGAGACUCGCUCAUUUCGCGAGCGCGGGAUCGAGAGAAGAAGGGAGAAGCGACGACUAGAUCGAGGAGUCAAAGUGGGUACGGAACUACUCGGUCGGGCAACGCGUGCUGUUCAACCAGGGUAGGGCAAACCCGUAGCCAAUGAGAGGCCGACCGGGGCGCGCCCGGGACUCGACCCCACCUUCGGUAGCCAUGGAAACUGGCGGAACCCGCGAGAAACCCUCGCGGGUUUGCGAUGGUGGGAGACCCAGGUCGGUGUCAGGGGUCGCCUUAGUCGGCAGUCGGUCUCUGGUCGGCCCCAAGAAUAGUCGUAUCGAGGCGGUAGUCGAGUAUCACCUCUCUUCUUCUUCUUCUCCUUCUCCUCCUACUACUACUACUACAGCACGGGCCGCCGCUCUGCUGCUCCUGCUGCCGUUGCUG